AGUGCCCUGAGGGUGCCCCCACCCUCAGGGACCCCCUUCCGCCCGGCUCUGGAAGGGGGAAAGGGGUAAAAACUUACCUUUUUCCAGCGCUGGGCGGAGAGCUCUCCUCCUUCUCUCCUCCUCCGUUCCGCCCCGUCGGCUGAAUGCGCACGCGCGGCAAGAGCUGCGCGCGCAUUCAGCCGGUCGCAUAGGAAAGCAUUUACAAUGCUUUCCUAUGGGCGCUGGCGUGCUCUCACUGUGAAAAUCAC